UAAAAAUAUCCCUUGUACAACACUGACCAGUUUUCAUUUGUUUUAGGGUUACUUAGUAACCUUUUUCUUCUCUUUGCAGAUGGAUCGUGAACAGCAAUUGAAUGAGUUGGAGAUGCGUAGCAAAACCUCAUUGGCUUACCCCCUCGAAGUAAAACAAAAAAUCGCUUUUACGCUUUAAUUUGUGAGUUAUUUUAGAAAUUUCAGUGUUCUUUUUAUUGCUUAAUGUUAAUGCUUCAUUGGAAUUUUUUUGGGAUUAAAUUAAAUUUGAAGAUUAAGAAAUUUUUUUCUUUGAGAAGUAUUUAGUUUUAUGAUUUUGUUGAUGGGUAUUGCUGGAAUUGAGAAGAUAAUUGAAAUCGAAGCAAUGCAUCAGAAUUAUGGAGAUUUGAUGAAACUUAGAUAGGAGGAAAGUUUUAAAGUGUGCAUCUUCUGAUCAAUCCUCAACCUUUCAUGUUGCAGUUGCUAGAAACAGGUUAAGCUUAUCCAUGUUGUUUGUACUUAAGGAUUUCAAGGCAAAUCAGAUUUGUCUUUAAUCUGGAUUCAAGGGUUGAUUUUGGAAGAUAACUUUAUAUGUGGGGUUAGUUAUGGUAGAAAUAUAGGUAUAUUUAGUUUAAAAAGUCUCUUACGAAUGGUUUUUAUUCCUGCUUUUAUGCUUUCAUUUUUUCAGGUUUCCUUUCCUUUUUUGUUUUUCAUUUUUUACAACUUCCCUUUCUUUCUGUUGUGGCGUUUUUGUGAUUGUUGUUUCUAUCUUUUUUGAGGUUAAUCUAUAAUUGUAGUUUUUUCCUUUUCCUAAUUGUUGUUCGGUUUCUCUAAUUGUUGUUAAGGUUUGAAACGGUAGAAUUUUUAAUUUUUGUGUUUUGUGCGAGUUUGUUUCGUUUGGUUUUGAGAAUGCUGUAUUGCUACCAGAGUCUCCUAGUACAAGUUCAUUGAUGGCUGCAAGAGAUGACAUAGGGGAAACCCCAAAAGCCUCCGAGGAAGACAAGCCAAGAGGUUUCUUUUUUAGCUUUAAAUAGUGUUAUAGAUCCCUUGAAGGCGCGAUUUUGUUCUUAAGGGUAUCACAAAUUAAUUUUUAGUGGAGUUUAAUAAGGUAAUUAGUCUCAAAUAUUAGAAAGAAUACAAGCUUGGUAAGAAAAAAAUUGUUAAAUCUAAUCAGAAAAUUGGUUUAGUUCUGUUAUAUGACAGAAAACUUUCUGCUAUCUGAUGGAUUAAUCUGAUGUAUUUGUUAACUUUGCAUACUGCUUUAGUGCUUUACAUUAAUUUUAGUAUGCUCUGACUGAGAUGGAUCCAGAGCUGUUCGGUGUAGGAGUUGCUGUGAUGGAAAUAUGAAUGUAAAUACUAAAUAAGGUGCAUCCAAAAGCCUUUGCUUCUGUUUUCUUUUCUAUAAUGCAUGAGUUUGUUGGAGCAGGAUUGUUGAAAAUUUUGCCAUGUGCUUGAGCCCUCCACCAGUUUUGAAAGGAGUGUAACAACAUUACAGAUGUAUCUAUAGAUGGGAAAAAGUAGCUGCCCAAGUCGAGGAUGGACCCUGUGUCACUUACAUUGGCGAAGGAAGAUAAGUGGCGGAGAUUUUCGCAAAAUGGAACAGGGGAGAGCUUGAAAGUUUCUUAAUUGAGAUAACAUCUGAUAUUUUUAGAGUUAAGGACGAGUUGGGUGAUGGGUAUUUGGUGGAU